GAUGAACGCUGGCGGCGUGCCUAAUACAUGCAAGUCGAGCGGACGGACGAGAAGCUUGCUUCUCUGAUGUUAGCGGCGGACGGGUGAGUAACACGUGGAUAACCUACCUAUAAGACUGGGAUAACUUCGGGAAACCGGAGCUAAUACCGGAUAAUAUUUUGAACCGCAUGGUUCAAAAGUGAAAGACGGUCUUGCUGUCACUUAUAGAUGGAUCCGCGCUGCAUUAGCUAGUUGGUAAGGUAACGGCUUACCAAGGCAACGAUGCAUAGCCGACCUGAGAGGGUGAUCGGCCACACUGGAACUGAGACACGGUCCAGACUCCUACGGGAGGCAGCAGUAGGGAAUCUUCCGUAAUGGGCGAAAGCCUGACGGAGCAACGCCGCGUGAGUGAUGAAGGUCUUCGGAUCGUAAAACUCUGUUAUUAGGGAAGAACAUAUGUGUAAGUAACUGUGCACAUCUUGACGGUACCUAAUCAGAAAGCCACGGCUAACUACGUG
rnacentral:rRNA from 1 species